UUUUUUCCAAUAUGUGCGCUGCUGGUGUUAAGUCUGAAUGAAGGAAGGGACUGGGAGUCAUUUCCUAACAUUGCUAUGGUUUGAAUGUGUCCCCUAAAUUUCAUGUCUUGGAAACUUAAUCCCCAAAUUCAAAUGUUGAUUGGAAGUGGAACCUUUAGGACAUAAUUAGGAUUAGAUAAGGUCAUCAGUGUGGGCCCCCACCCCCAUGAUGGAACUGGUGGCUUUAUAAGAAGAGGAAGAUAAGAAGGGAAAGAAAGACCUGAGCUGACAUGCACAUGCUUGACCACUUGUCAUGUGAUGCCCUUUGCCAUGUUGUGACACAGCAAGGAGGCCCUCACCAGACGCCAGUGCCAUGUUCUUGGACUUCUCAGCCUCCAUAUUCAUGAACUAAGUUUUUGGAAUCCUUAGGCUUCCACGUGUGGAAAGCCUGAGCUAACCUACUGGAGGAUGAGCCAUCACCUGGAGCAGAUUCAGGCCAUCCUAGUUGAAGCCUCCCUAGGCCAAGCAACCGUCCAACUACCAGACAUUGACCAUUCAGCCUUGAACAUUCAGCACAAAGACAAAACAGACCAGACCAGAAGAGUCCCACAGAAUAGGGGAAACUAUUCAGAGAAAACUUAAGCCACUAAGUUUUAUGGUGUUUUGUUCUGUAGCAGAAGCAUAGGCAUACUGACAAUACAAACCGAAA
rnacentral:lncRNA from 10 species